AUAUGAGGGACCCUUUGGUAGCUCAAUGGUUGAGUAUCUGCCUUUGGCUCAGGGCGUCAUCUCGGGGUCCUGGGAUGGAGUCCCACAUCCAGCUCCCCGCAGGGAGCCUGCUUCUCCCUAUGCCUAUGUCUCUGUCUUUCUCUCUUUGUCUUUCAUGAAUAAAUAAAUAAAAUCUUUUUUUUUAAUUUUUAAUUUUUAUUUAUUUAUGAUAGUCACAGAAAGAGAGAGAGAGAGGCAGAGACAUAGGCAGAGGGAGAAGCAGGCUCCAUGCACUGGGAGCCCAAUGUGGGAUUCGAUCCCGGGUCUCCAGGAUGGCGCCCUGGGCCAAAGGCAGGUGCUAAACUGCUGCGCCACCCAGGGGUCCCAAUAAAUAAAAUCUUUAAGAAAAUACAUUAUAUGAAAAUACAAUUUACCUUUAUAACUGAGUUUUUGAUGUGUGUCUCCCCCACCCCAAGGCGAGUACUCUGCUUGCCUCACCUUGGCCUAGCCUCCUUGGGUGCCUCUCCCAGCCCCCAAUCCCUCUUGAUCUCAUUGCCUUCUCUUCCUACUGCUAUUUGAAAUGAUGGCAUUUCUCCCUUGGAGAAGUGUUUGGCUACAGGGCUUCUGGUCCAUCUCCCAGCUCCAUUUUUCAGAUGAGGAGGCUGAGGCCCAGAGGGGGUGAGUAACCUAGUCAGCCCCGCACAUGAGAAUCCCAUGGGGCUGUGUGCAUUCACCACUGAGAAGUCUCUGAUGAAGCUAGAAGCUACCUGGAGUGGGCCAGGUAGGGGACAGCUCUCUUGGAGGCCUCAUAUUCCUACAAUGUGGUCCUCAAACUCCUAUUGCCACUAGGGGUGUGCGGAUCCAUGCGUCAUCUUUACUGUUAGCCAGUUCAUUCGUUUCUUGAAACCUUACCUUAAAUGCCUUUUAGAAAGAAAAUGUUAUCACCACUCUAAAUGGAGAAACGGUAUCACUUCCCAGAAUUAGGCAAUAAACAUAGCAGCAAAUAAAAGGAGAAACAAAAUGGUGCCUUUACAUUAUAGCUAGCUUCUUUUGUGUUAGGUCUUCAAGCCUGCCUGCAGUGUGUUUGAUAAGCAAGAGUGAGAGGGGUGUUUAAGACAUGCUAGCACCCGGGAUACUGGGUGGCUCAGCUGUUGGGCGUCUGCCCUUGGCCCAGGGCAUGAUCCUGGGUUCCCGGGAUCGAGUCCCGCAUUGGGAUCCCUGCAUGGAGCCUGCUUCUCCCUCUGCCUGUGUCUCUGCCUCUCUAUGUCUCUCAUGAAUAAAUAAAUAAGAUCUUAAAAAAAAAAAAAAAAGCAUGCUAGCACCCAACAGAGACUGGUUUGAAGACAGUCGGAAGAGCAGAAAAAAGAACCCAAAAGAGUGACUUCUACUUAUCAGGCUCCUGUGAAAAUGCCCAGUUCCCCCAGAGGCCCUUGUCCCUCACUGCAACCCCAAACCUUGCUUUGCUUAAAUUCCAGUCUGGCAGAACCACACCAUGAUGCCGAUUUUAUUUCGGGGACACCCCCUCCCCCUAAAAAAGUGUAUGAAGCAAACUCCCUCCAGCAACGUCCGCCAGGAGGAGCGGGAGCCAGAGCACCUCCAGCUGGCUCCCGCAGAGGCUCCAAAGACUCUUUAUUCAGCAGCAGGGAUUUAUUCCUUAGCUAGGUUUGGGCGUUCUGUAGGUCCCAAAUAUAAUAAAAUUGCAUUUCUUUUUCUUUCAUUUUUUAAAAAUGAGGUAAAACACAAUGUAAAAUUAAUCACGUGAAAGUGGACAGUUCAGAGGCAUUUAGCACAUUCAUAAUGUUGCACAACCACCUUCUCUACCCAACUGCAGGACAUUUCCAUUGCCCCAAAAGGAAACUCCAUACCCAAGAAGCAACCGCUCCCCAUCCCCAUCCCCAUCCCCACCCUCCUAGCCUGCGGGUAAACGCUGAUAUGCUUCCUAUCUCUAUGGAUGUGCUUGUUCUGGACAUUUCACAUAGAUAGGGAAGACCAGACAAUAUACGGUUUCCCUGUGCCUGGCUUCUUUCACAUAGUGUCAUGUUUUCAAGGCUCCCCUGUGUCUUAGCACAUGUCAGACCUUCAUUCAUUUUUAUGGCUGGGUAAUAAUAGCCUGCUGAAUGGACAUACCACAUUUUGUUUAUCCUUUCAUUGUUCACAGUGCAUUUCCUUUUAAACAGAUUGCCAGAUUAUUCUUGAUUAAGCCUUGACCUCCU
rnacentral:lncRNA from 1 species